UACGAAGGGGGCUAGCGUUGUUCGGAAUUACUGGGCGUAAAGCGCACGUAGGCGGAUACUUAAGUCAGGGGUGAAAUCCCGGGGCUCAACCCCGGAACUGCCUUUGAUACUGGGUAUCUCGAGUCCGGAAGAGGUGAGUGGAAUUCCGAGUGUAGAGGUGAAAUUCGUAGAUAUUCGGAGGAACACCAGUGGCGAAGGCGGCUCACUGGUCCGGUACUGACGCUGAGGUGCGAAAGCGUGGGGAGCGAACGGG
rnacentral:rRNA from 1 species